CUAAGGAUAUUCCGCAAUGGACGGAAGUCUGACGGAGCGACGCCGCGUGGAUGACGAAGGCCGAAAGGUUGUAAAGUUCUUUUGCUGGGGAAGAAUAACCGCAGGAGGGAAUGCCUGUGGGAUGACAAGAACCGGCGAAUAAGCCCCGGCCAACUACGUGCCAGCAGCCGCGGUAACACGUAGGGGGCGAGCGUUGUUCGGAAUUACUGGGCGUAAAGGGCAUGUAGGCGGCUUGGAAAGCCUGGCGUGAAAGUCUGCAGCUUAACUGCAGGGGUGCGCUGGGAACUGCUGGGCUUGAGUGACGGAGAGGGAGCUGGAAUUCCUGGUGUAGGGGUGAAAUCUGUAGAUAUCAGGAAGAACACCGAUGGCGAAGGCAAGCUCCUGGCCGAUGACUGACGCCGAGGUGCGAAAGUGUGGGGAUCAAACA
rnacentral:rRNA from 1 species